rnacentral:rRNA from 1 species
GACGAACGCUGGCGGCGUGCUUAACACAUGCAAGUCGAACGGAAAGGCCCUGCUUUUGUGGGGUGCUCGAGUGGCGAAAGGGUGAGUAACACGUGAGUAACCUGCCCUUGACUUUGGGAUAACUUCAGGAAACUGGGGCUAAUACCGGAUAGGAGCUCCUGCUGCAUGGUGGGGGUUGGAAAGUUUCGGAGGUUGGGGAUGGACUCGCGGCUUAUCAGCUUGUUGGUGGGGUAGUGGCUUACCAAGGCUUUGACGGGUAGCCGGCCUGAGAGGGUGACCGGCCACAUUGGGACUGAGAUACGGCCCAGCCUCCUACGGGAGACAUCAGUGGCGAAUAUUGCACAAUGGGCGGAAGCCUGAUGCAGCACCGCCGCGUGCGGGAUGACGGCUUUCGGGUUGUAAACCGCUUUCGCCUGUGACGCAGCGUGAGUGACGGUAAUGGGUAAAGAAGCACCGGCUAACUACGUG